rnacentral:lncRNA from 1 species
CCAGAAUUGAAAAACUACAUCAGACUUAAACAAAUUUAAGUCUAUGAUUCAACAUAAUAGUUUCCUAGUAAUAAGAUCAAAUCAAAUCAUAGAGAGCAACCAUACAUCCUUAGGCAGAACUUUUAUUUAAGAAGCAUCAAGUUAGCUCUUGCAAUCCUAAGAUAUGGUGUUUAAGUGAAGGACAGAAACUUAAGUAUAAAAUAAAAAAAUCUACGCAUACACAAAGUUAUUACUUAUUUGGUUAAGCCUAAGUCAUAGUAUCUAUUUGACACAAUAUUCUAAACAAGUUCACACAUAUAAUAAUCCUACAUACAGAUUAUCUAGUGCAUAAAAAUUCUGAUACAAAAUAGAGUUAAGCACAUAUUAAGGUUCAAGAGACGUACCCGAUUGAAACUUGGCAUGCUUUCAAUGGAAAAUCGCACGACUGGCGACUGUUGUUAUCCUGAUACAAAAUAGAGUUAAGCACAUAUUGAGGUUCAAGAGACGUACCCGAUUGAAACUUGGCAUGCUUUCAAUGGAAAAUCGCACGACUGGCGACUGUUGUUAUCCUAAAUUUAUAUUAAAAAGAGAUUAAGAAAACUUACAACUAUGUUUCCCACAACUAUCAGUUGCAAUUUCUUUCUCGCUAAUGGAAUCUUAAUUUUCUCAAAAGAGAUUCUUGAGAUAGUAGAGCUUCGUGCUGAUAACGUGUUAUAAAAUAAUACAAGAACAAGAACAAUAUUGCAGAGAAAGUAGGGAGAGGAGANNN